GGCAGAGAGAGCCCAGUUCCCGUGCCCGAGACGGGCAUGAGGAAAGUCCCCCCACCGUCCGAACGGGUGACCGGGCGCAAGCCCGGAGUCGGAGACGGCUGGCGCUGGAACAGAAACGAGACCGCUCGACCUGACCGAUGAGUGCGCGCCCGAGCGGGCUGGUCGUGCCCCACCGACGGUGCGGCACGCGGCCAAAGCGAGGGAGAGCUAACCCACCGAGGGCAGUCGCGACCCGGUGACGCCGGGGCGCGCGUCGCGGCCACGUGCGCACCACCCGUGGGAAGCUGAGACGCCCCACGCAUUGGGUGGGCUCGGCGAUCGCCACGCUCCCGGCGAGAACGGAUGGAACGGCGAAUCCUCACCGGUGCAAGUCCGCGCCGCGAGGUAGUCGGACGCCGCGCGCCGGGUUGGACGCGGACGCUGAGCCGAAUGCUGGGACGAACAGAAGGGGGCUUACUCCUCUCAGCC
rnacentral:RNase_P_RNA from 1 species